AUGAACGCUAGCUACAGGCUUACACAUGCAAGUCGAGGGGCAGCAUGGUCUUAGCUUGCCAAGGCCGAUGGCGACCGGCGCACGGGUGAGUAACACGUAUCCAACCUGCCGUCUACUCUUGGACAGCCUUCUGAAAGGAAGAUUAAUACAAGAUGGCAUCAUGAGUCCGCAUGUUCACAUGAUUAAAGGUAUUCCGGUAGACGAUGGGGAUGCGUUCCAUUAGAUAGUAGGCGGGGUAACGGCCCACCUAGUCUUCGAUGGAUAGGGGUUCUGAGAGGAAGGUCCCCCACAUUGGAACUGAGACACGGUCCAAACUCCUACGGGAGGCAGCAGUGAGGAAUAUUGGUCAAUGGGCGAGAGCCUGAACCAGCCAAGUAGCGUGAAGGAUGACUGCCCUAUGGGUUGUAAACUUCUUUUAUAAAGGAAUAAAGU
rnacentral:rRNA from 1 species